GUGAACGCUGGCGGUAGGCCUAACACAUGCCAGUCGAACGGCAGCACAGUAAGAGCUUGCUCUUACGGGUGGCGAGUGGCGGACGGGUGAGGAAUACAUCGGAAUCUACUUUUUCGUGGGGGAUAACGUAGGGAAACUUACGCUAAUACCGCAUACGACCUACGGGUGAAAGCAGGGGAUCUUCGGACCUUGCGCGAUUGAAUGAGCCGAUGUCGGAUUAGCUAGUUGGCGGGGUAAAGGCCCACCAAGGCGACGAUCCGUAGCUGGUCUGAGAGGAUGAUCAGCCACACUGGAACUGAGACACGGUCCAGACUCCUACGGGAGGCAGCAGUGGGGAAUAUUGGACAAUGGGCGCAAGCCUGAUCCAGCCAUACCGCGUGGGUGAAGAAGGCCUUCGGGUUGUAAAGCCCUUUUGUUGGGAAAGAAAAGCAGCAGGUUAAUACCCCGCUGUUCUGACGGUACCCAAAGAAUAGGCACCGGCUAACUUCGUG
rnacentral:rRNA from 1 species